rnacentral:rRNA from 1 species
UACAGAGGUGGCAAGCGUUGUUCGGAAUUACUGGGCGUAAAGGGCGCGUAGGCGGCCUUCUAAGUCAGACGUGAAAUCCCCGGGCUCAACCCGGGAACUGCGUCCGAUACUGGUUGGCUUGAAUCCGGGAGAGGGAUGCGGAAUUCCAGGUGUAGCGGUGAAAUGCGUAGAUAUCGGGAGGAACACCAGUGGCGAAGGCGGCUACCUGGCCCAUUCUUGACGCUGAGGCGCGAAAGCUAGGGGAGCAAACGGG